UACGUAGGUGGCAAGCGUUUGUCCGGAAUUAUUGGGCGUAAAGCGCGCGCAGGCGGUCCUUUAAGUCUGAUGUGAAAGCCCACGGCUCAACCGUGGAGGGUCAUUGGAAACUGGGGGACUUGAGUGCAGAAGAGGAAAGCGGAAUUCCAGGUGUAGCGGUGAAAUGCGUAGAUAUCUGGAGGAACACCGGUGGCGAAGGCGGCAUCCUGGACCGGUAUUGACGCUGAGGCGCGAAAGCUAGGGGAGCAAACAGGGG
rnacentral:rRNA from 1 species